rnacentral:lncRNA from 1 species
AUGGAGACAGAGGAGGUGAGCAGAGCAGUUCCCCGCUGGGGAGCACAUCCACCUGUCAGGGCUGAGCUUGGUGUCCUUCCUCUCGGUUCCCGUCUACCCGGCGAAGCAGCCACGCUGACGUGGUGUGGUGGGCACGCAGCCCAGGCUUUGAUCACAGAUCUGCACGUCAGAGCAGGCUGCAAACCUGGCUCAGCUCCCUCAGGUGCACACAAAGGCAAACCUUCCCUUCCCUGAUGAAAGAGUGAGAACACCCACUGCAUGUCUAAAGCAAGAAAAUGCAAGAGAAGCUCCACAAAUGGUUUUGCUCUGUUUUUGAGAUGGAAUCUGAAGACGAGAUUCCUGAAUGAAGUCUGAGUUUUAUGGAAAUGCAUUACACUUGUGGACUUUAAAGAGAAAUCUAGUGUUGCUGUGCUCUGCCAUUUGUAGCUUUUUGGUAUUCUUUACAUAGACCUUUUCUCUUUUUAUACUUAGAUGAGGUUGUGCUUUCUUUCCCAUCCCAGGGGAUUGCCAGUGAGGUUUGAAUAGAGUAAUUUAUUUUCCUAAAUUCAGAAAGUGUUACCAUUUCUUUGGCUGAGUCACCUAAGCAUGAUCAGACACAAUUUUCAAAGGUGGCUGGGGAUUUGAGUAUUCAGUUAAACCAAGAGAAAUUGAAUCUCCCAAUCCUCUGAGGUGCUUUGGGAAAAUCUCUUGCUAAAUGUAGCAGCUUAAUGAUGAUCUAAAGAUACAUAAAGACAUUUUCAUCUCUUUUACUGAAAAAUCAAGGGCUACCUCCACACAGUGGAAACACUGACAGGCAUUACAGAACAUCACAAAUUCCAUAGAGGCAAAUCUUACUCCAUUCUUCUGGACUGCAGCUCAGGUAGUAGCCCUGUUUGUUUCCUGAAGCAUGGUUAUAUUACAGGGCUAGGGCAGUGUAUCUGCUGUGUUUUGGGGCUGCCUUUCCACAGGAAUCAUAGAAUGGCACAUCAGAGGUUUGCAGCAUGUUUUAGGAUACAGGAAGUGUUCAUCUGGGUCAGGUGGUUUGAUUCAAGUUCUCAUCUCCAUAUUUCCAUUCCUAUUCA